rnacentral:rRNA from 1 species
ACUGGAGGAAGGCGGGGAUGACGUCAAGUCAUCAUGGCCCUUACGGCCAGGGCUACACACGUGCUACAAUGGUCGGUACAAAGGGUUGCUACCUCGCGAGAGGAUGCUAAUCUCAAAAAGCCGAUUGUAGUCCGGAUCGCAGUCUGCAACUCGACUGCGUGAAGUCGGAAUCGCUAGUAAUCGCGGAUCAGAAUGCCGCGGUGAAUACGUUCCCGGGCCUUGUACACACCGCCCGUCACACCAUGGGAGUUUGUUGCACCAGAAGUAGGUAGUCUAACCGCAAGGAGGAC